UGACAUGUUCGACUCGACGUUUGUCUUGUUUGUUUGUUUGUGUCUGACAGUGCACCUCCAUAUGAUUAUAUGGGUUUGUUCGUGUCGGAUGUCAUGUUCGAUUGCUGCUAGAGCGCCGCCUUACUCAGCAGGCCAACGAAAAGAUUUGUUGAUUUAGCUGGCAGCUGGCAGAUUUAGUCAUGUGGGUCAUGUGGGCACUUAUUCGCCGUUUGCAAUUUGCUUGAUUCGAGAAGUUGUAACAAUAGUGCUCGGUACAAUGUAUAGCAAGAGGAUGGAUUCGGUAAACGUUUCCCGUUUUGUGGAUUAAGAAAGCCACUAAAGGUAUUUUCCAAAUAGCUGGAGCGGUGCAUUUUUGUGUGUGAACGAUGAAGCGACGCUUUUCCGUGAAGCUGUUUAAGUUCAUCAAGGCAAUCAGAACAGAGACUUUGAGGUCUAGUUCAUUCGCUUCUUUUCGAUGGUUAUAUUUGAUUCAGUAGCAUUGUCUCUUUCAGGUUUCGGCAUAAUCAAUAUCUACGUUUAUCCUAGAGAUUUGCGAUGCUUUUAUCGAAGUUCUUGGCAGUUAUGUACAUGUAUGUUAAAGAUAAGUAUGUAUUCAGAAGAAGAAAAGGCGUCCGUUUGUACACUGAAGAACAAUAAAAAAAGUAGUGUGUAUGUACCGCAAAUAUUCGUUUACAAAGACUUAUAUGUUUUGAUCAAUGAACGAAAGUAGUUUAGCCCGAAUUUUAUUAAAAAAAAAAACAUUAAUAUUACUUUUGAAGGAUCCCAAAUCUUUUUGGGAUUUAUUGGAAUUUAUUCUUAGUUGCAAUAAUUUUCAUAACGUGCCGUGCGUUCAAUAGAUUGCAUAGUACCAACACGGGCUACUAUUCUAUUACGCCUCUUUGGAGACCAUGAUUCAAUUUCUUUGUCAGCUCGGACAAAAAAACGCAUUUCCUCACUGCCCUCGUCAUUUAUUGAAUUCAAGAGAGUUUGUGAAACUGAUGAAACUGUUUUUAGCGUCUGAAGGACUUCUACAUUGUACGUCAAAUUUGCCUCUACCCGACGCUUCUUCGUUUUUCCAGCCUGUUGGUGAAGCGUAAUUGCGAGCAAAGGUGGCUCAAGGACAGCGGUUUGCUCGUUGUUGGCUGGUGACGAAGGCGACGACUCGUUGGCCAUUUGUGGGUCCUGAAUAGCCGAACUCGAACGAUGCAAUGAGUCUUGCGUGUUGGUCAUUUGCUCCUCUGUAUAUGUUCCUUCUAUCAAGUUUUCCUCGGGACAAUGCCAUUCAAUUUCUAGCGAUUCCUCCGGAGAUGGCGUUCUUGUGAAGUCGGCAUUACACGUAGAGGUCUCUAAAAAAUAUUCAUGAGUGUCUAUAUUGCAAUUUUUAAAACGAUUUUGAUUUUUAAGCUGGAUGAUAUAGAUAAUAUGAAUUUACUAUGGAUAUAUUCAUCAAAUCAAUGAGUUCAAUGAGAAAUCAAUGAGAAUCAAUGGUUGAAAAUUUCCAAUGAUUUUAAGCAACAAUACGGUUUCCUUAAUGCCAUCGGAGCUAUUGAUGGAAAGCAUGUUCAAGUCAAAUGAGAGUGAGAGUGGAAGUGAUUAUAUUAAUUAAAAAAUAUUCAGCAUUGUGCUUCUUGCCGUUGUUGACGCCAACGGUUUUUUUGUUUGCCGAUGUUGGUGCAAAGGAAAGAAUUUCGGAUAGUGGGGUGGUAAAGCAUUCUCGGCUAUAUGAGCUAUUAGAAAAAAGAAUGAUACAUAUACCUGAACCAUGACCAAUACGAGAAGGAGAACAUGUAAGAGUGCCUUUUAUGUUACUCGGUGAUAGUGCGUUUGCUUUCACAGAUUAUUGUAUAAGACCCUGUGGAGGCGACCCAGAACGGCACAAUCAAAGUCAGCGGAAAUUUAACGAACUGUAUUCUAGAGUUCGUCGCGUUGUAGAAAGAGCAUUUGGGAUUUUUAGCGCAAGAUUUAGGGUAUUAAGAAAGGCUAUGGAGUUGGAACCAGGCAUAGCCAGCUAAGUAACGCUUGCGGCAGUUAACCUGCAGAACUUUAUCCGAAGAGGCUAGUGAUAAUUUAGUAUUUAUACUUUAUAUGUAGUUGAGUAAAUUAUAUUACAAUGUAUCUUGCAAAUAGUUUUUCGUCGGUAUCAUAUUAUUAAUCAUAAUGAUUUUCUGGGUUAUUUACGGAAUGAAUUCAUUCUAUGAAUAUGUAACGCAAAACAGCUGGACUGUCACUACUUGAAUAACAAAAUAAAUACAUAAAUUCACAACAUACAGCAAGUGUAUGUGUACCAAUAAGAUAAACGACUCCUCUCCUUAAGAACAUUCGGAUCGUUUACCCGUAGCAAAUACCACCUAUCCGGCUGCUUAGUUACGCCGAAUGGAGAGGGAGAGAAAGGAUAAUAUCACACCGUGAACUAUAAGUGUAAAAGUAUGUGUAUAUCUAGAACGAUUCAGCGUAUCCGUUAACCUAUGAAAAAAUUCUCUUUUCUUCUUUAGUUCUACCUUCUUUUUUAAAAUAAAUAUAAACAAGAUUGACUUUAUACACUUACCAACGUAUCUACUGUAGUUGCACAUUCGUUGGUCACCGAUAUGAAAUUCAUUGCAUCAUAUGCAGACCAUUUUUUCCUAUUGGGUUGCGCAGCUAAAAUAAAAUAAAAUAAUAAUAUUAGUCUAAACAUCGUCUAGGAAGCUGGAUAGAAAUUGCUUAUUUCGUUAAAAAGUUGUUUUUUUUUAUAAUGUUUAUGCAUCAUGCGUAAUGGUGUGCAUCCUUUCCUUAUCCAUUGAUGCCUAGGAGACGUCAUAAUUUUCGCUCCAAGUCCAGCUACGUUCCCAGCUUUAGUUUCAAAUCAUUCGACCUCGACGACGAGAAGGAGGAAUGCGAAACCGAUCAUCUGCUGAAGGGCGGGAAGCUAGGUCUGGAGGAAGCAUCCGUUGGGAAUCCGUUUACCGGGCAACGGUGCAGGGGCAGCCACGAAUUUAUCGCUUAAUACAAUUUAGCUAUUUAUCCCACUUUUCCACACUGUUAGCUUUUUGGUAGGUUAGAAUAAAAUUACCAUAACGGUUUGUGAUACUCUUAAAUCGAUAGAGCAGUCGGCCAGUUAUACACCAAAGAAAGUGCAAUGGAACCAUUCAUUGGAUCGGUUUCGAUUGAAAAAAAAGUAUUGCGAUUAUGAAAUUACUGAAAUACAUAGUACUGCCAGGCAUGGUUUUCAAGGUGCUCAAUUGUUUUGUUUAGCCUACAGUAACGUAAUCUAUUUCUUUAGCACACUUAAUGAACUUACCAGAUCCCGUUUGUUCGCUGUUUUUGUAAACAUCCUUGAAGUGUCGGAACGAGCUUCCCAUUAAAUUCUCCAAUUGAAGCACAUUCGUCGGCCUGUUGUAUUUUAUUUUUAUAGUGUAAAUCACGUCGGUCCCAUAAGCAUUCACGCAUUUGUUUUUGCUGUAUGAAGAACAAAGAGUCUUCCUGAUACAUGUUUGCUCUCUAAAAACGAAACAAAAGAGCAAAUAAACUAAGUCCACUUAUUGUUAGUGUUUUCAUUGUUUGUUUCAUGUAGGGUAAGUGUAUCAAUUGUGGCUAUAGCACCAAUUAUGGCUAUAACGAAUACUAUUUUUGCUAUAAAACAGUCUAUUUGCACUCUAAACCCACGGAAGGAUUUUUCAUUUCAAAUAUGAACAUUUUAACACAUUUGUGCUUCAUUGGUUCCGUACUGCUCACUGUCGUUUGUUAAAUAUCACCCUUAUAAAUUGUGUUGCCAAGAUUUUUGGUAUCUCUUAUCAUUUUGCUUAGAGCAGCACUGCAGGAUAUUAGCGAUUUUCAAGCACCUAACCAUAUUUUUUCUUUAAACCAUCAUUUUGGUGCAAAAUAUUAGUUAUUUAACGACUACACAUCAAAAUCUACCUAAAUUUCAGCGAAAAUAUGCCUUUUUUCCGGUAUGUCCAUAAUUGGUACAACUAUCCUUCGGUGUACCAAAUAUCGUGGCAUGCUAUGGAUGCUUUGUUGACAAGUGUGGUUUUGUUCGUAGUGCUUAGUUGACAAGUGAAAAAAUGCGGGUUUCUCGUUGUUAUUUUCGAAAUACAGUCAGAUAUAAAUAGUUGAACACUUUUUAGUUGACAUGCUUUUUAGUUGAACGCUCAAUAGUUGGCUGAUAGUUCAAUUAAAAAGCAUGCGUUUGUAUGGGAAAACCGGUUUCUGAAAAAUUCUCAAAAAUCUCAUGGCAUGCCCAGAAAAAGUUCUUUCAAUGAUUUUUUUUUGUAUGGAAAAACGUGCCAACUAAAAAG